rnacentral:rRNA from 1 species
CACGUAGGCGGACUUUUAAGUCAGGGGUGAAAUCCCGGGGCUCAACCCCGGAACUGCCUUUGAUACUGGAAGUCUUGAGUUCGAGAGAGGUGAGUGGAAUUCCGAGUGUAGAGGUGAAAUUCGUAGAUAUUCGGAGGAACACCAGUGGCGAAGGCGGCUCACUGGCUCGAUACUGACGCUGAGGUGCGAAAGCGUGGGGAGCAAACA